AUAUUGGGUUUGGUUUUGACAACCAAACUUGGUGUUGGGCAAUGGUAUUAGCCAAUGAGGUUACUAUUGGGUCCUGGGAGUUAAUGACCCAUAAUGUAAGUCUCCUAACCUAAUUUGGAGAGUGGUUGCAGACACAACACGAGCAGACAAGAUCAGACUCACAAUAAUAGAGUUGAGAGAGAAAGAGAGAAAAGGAGAGAAGAAAACAGUUUUCGUCUCAGUUUUUCAAGACAGAUUUGGAGGGUCAAACGGAACUUGAUCGGGCUGAUAUUUUGUGGGAAUCUUAUUCAGUCAAUGGGUUAAAGGUUCACCGAAGGGAUUUGGAUUUCAACGGUUGGAUCUUCUGUUGUCUGGGUUUUAGUGAAGCUGGUCGUCACAGCUCUUCAGCAAGGCUGUCUUGGGUGUUUGGUAAAUCCAACGGCUGUUGAACAGGGAGGACGUGGUUGUACUCAUACCAUUUAUAUAGUGGAUUUUUGAGUGGACUACGGUCCCGUGGUUUUUCCUUCACACAUUGAGGAGGUUUUCCACGUAAAAAUUGUGUGUCUCAUUUAGUUAUCGCAACUUUGAUAUCUUGCCAUCGUCGAAGUAUUUUCCUCACAGGUUCGCACAAGGUCAGGGGUACACGACCAUUAGUAUUUCCGCUGCACCGUGUGACUUUCCCAACAUGCUAAUAUACCGAGAUUUGGUACAUAUUCUUUUUCUUUCUUUCUUUUUUGUCCAGAGUCAUUUGAUAGAGGAAUGCAUGCUGGACCUGUGGGGCUUUUUGGUGGUGGAGAGAGUGAAUUCUCUGUAGGCAUAAGAUAUGCUUUAGUCAAAAAGGGUCUUGGAGCCUUGAUCUAUUCAGGAAAAGGAAUAGUUUCAGGAAGUGAUUCAUCCUCCGAGUGGAACGAGCUUGAUCUUAAAACUUGUCCUUGAGACAUCAAUGCAAUUUCCAUGUCUUUAUGCAAUCUGAAACAUAUAAUUAUGUGUUUCUCAGUUCACUAAAUCACUUGAACAUGAGCCAGCUUUGCAGCCUAUCAACUAAAAAAUGUUUAAUAAACCAUCUAUAAUUUAAAUUGCUUUAUAUCA